CCCCUCCCUCUUUUGUUCCAACCCCUUCAUAAAUUUCACCAAACACUUCAGAGCUGCUAAGUAGGAAGAAAACAUACUCGGCCUUCCCUCAAUCCUAGUUAGGGUUUGAAAUGACAAAUUGAGAAUGAAUAUGAGCCUAUGGAGUUGAAACUUGGUGCACCAACUGAAGCUUAAUGGGCAGCUGAAGUGACUUUGGAUCUUGGCACGGAUUUAAUUGGAAUCAUGGAAGAUUGUAGAAGAACUAGAAGAAAGGCCUUCAGAAAUAAAGGAGUCUUUGGUAGAAACGUAUUAGAGAUCCCAGUUGGUAAAUGGAGGCCAAUCAAGGCAAUUCCAUCAACAAAGCUAUCAAACGAGCUGGGAAUACUUGCUCGAAAGUUUCUUUCGCUUCCAAACAAGUGGAAGGACCUCACAAAAGAGGAGAAAGAUGCAACACUUAUUAGAUAAUAUAUUACUUUUCAAGACAAUUAUAUUUUUAUUGUACAACAUAUUGGUUUGUCCUAAAUGUGACAAAAAUAGUCUGUCUCAGAAUGGCCUUAUCAAUAAUAUACUAUAUUCUUUAAUUACGAA